CUUGCAGCCUCAUCACUCCCUUCUAAGAAAAGGCAGUGUUAACAUUGCAGUCUAAGCACACCUCUAGUAGCUUCCUGGAGCAGUCCUGCAAUCUUUGUGUGACCAGUGGUUCCCUGUGUUCACACUCUACAGAGAUGCUGAUCCUUCCCCAUAGAGAUGCUUUGAGCUAAUGUAUGACUAUGAGGACAUGCUAAAGCAUUGGAUUGGACGAGAUCAUCUGUAGUGAUGAUCUCAGCCACUGGAGGUGCAUAAAUCUAAAUAGUUGGGAAAACACUAACAUUCGGAACACAUGUUUCUUUUCCCAACGUUAUAGCGUUCCUUUAAACAAAUCCUGGGUUUGUGAAACACAUUUUUAAAAAUAAAAAAAGUUCCCUUUUGUAAUUGCUAAAUUAUAAUUUUACUGACUUGUUGAAUCUGACGGAAUCACUAAAAAAUGGACAAGAUAAGCCAUGCCAAUUAUAUACCAGUGAUAGCUAAUCUGGGCUCUGCAGACUGAGUAUCUAAUAAAGCCCAAAAGCAUUUGCAAGUUAGCUAUCUAAACUCAUGGAGAGACUCUUUCCACAAAAUAUGGCGGCUCUGUUUCACAUUAGACGAAUCACAUAAAUAGCCAUAAUAACCUCUAAAGCUUUAAAAAACACUUUCUAUGAUUCUUAAUGUAACUCAUGGCUUGUAAACGUUAUGAGUUAGAUGGCUAUAUCCACAGGCGUACCUACCACGGUCGCAGGGGUCGCCCCUGCGAUCGUGGGCUGCCUGGAUACCUCAUGGGCCUGUGCACGGCCGCACCGGCCCGGGUUCGCGGUUCCUGGAGGUUUUGCAGGAAGGGAGAGCUGCACUGUGCUGCUCCCCUCCUUCCUGUGUG